rnacentral:rRNA from 1 species
UACGUAGGCAGCAAGCGUUGUUCGGAGUUACUGGGCGUAAAGGGUGUGUAGGCGGUCUUCUAAGUCUGGUGUGAAAUCUCCCGGCUCAACUGGGAGGGUGCGCCGAAAACUGGAAGGCUAGAGUGCGGGAUGGGAGAGUGGAAUUCCUGGUGUAGCGGUGAAAUGCGUAGAUAUCAGGAGGAACACCGGUGGUGUAGACGGCUCUCUGGACCGCAACUGACGCUGAGACACGAAAGCGUGGGUAGCAAACAGG